rnacentral:lncRNA from 1 species
AAUAUGGCUUGAAGUUUAUCCUCCCAAGAGACCGAGGAGUCCACAAGAAUUGGGUUUGGGAUACCCGACGCUCUCCAAAUUGCUUGCGCAUAUUCACACCCAAAGAAUAGAUGAUUGGUGGUUUCAUCUUCUCUGCAACAUCUUAUACAUGUAACAUAGUUAGAAAUAUGUCUAUACCUCAGAUUUUCGCCAGUUGGGAGUGAAUUUGAAAGGAGACGCCAACAGAAGUGUUGUAGUUUCGGG